rnacentral:tRNA from 1 species
GUAGCUCAGUGGUAGAGUGCUUGCCUUGCAUGCAUGAGGUCCUGGGUUCCAUUCCUCAGC